ensembl:snoRNA small nucleolar RNA SNORA13
UGCCUUUAUGUGUUGCCCUUUCAUUGUUUCCAUCAUGAAACGGGUGUCAGCAAAGGCAGACAAUAAUUCUUGUUGUUGUCUUGGGAAGAGUCAUCAGUGAUGCUUCUGACAGGCGGAACUGCAAGGACAUUU